rnacentral:lncRNA from 1 species
AUGGAAUCAGCCUUCACUAUAAAGAGACUUAUGCACUGGGAAGAAUUCAAGAAUUCAAGCAAUUCAAUUCUGAUCUGCUCUACUCUGCCCGCAGCCUUGGUAAGGCAGAGCAUCACAGGAAGAGGAAAGCGAAUUCCUGUGAUACAAGUACUGGUGCAGAGGAGGGGGGAAGACAAGACUUGAUCAUAUAAGGAAGAGUGAGGCAGGUUCCUAAGUAAAGCUGUGAGACAACAAGAGAGAGGCACAGUUGUGUUGUUAUGCAUAGAAGGCCAGAGUUGAGUCUGGUUUCUUGAGGGUGAUGUCCUGGCAAGUACUCUGGCACACAUGCUGUAGUAUAGUGUUCCAGUGCAUCCGUACAUCCAUCUAUGCUGCAAAUGGCACGGG